AGUGAUGAUGCCGACACUUGGGUUGGGAAUUCUCUUACUGAUUCUCUGCACUGCUUUGAUGUUUUUCAUCUUUUACAAAAAAAACAAAAUAAGUGGCUGUAGAGCAAAAGAAGCAAUAGACGAUGCUACCACUGGAUUGCCGUAUGCUGUCACUCCUGAAAAUCCUGUUGUUUAUGCUGCAAUAAACAUUCAAAAAAACAGAGACAGAGUGAAAACAAAAAAUGAGAACUGUGAAGCUCUGGUAUUUACCGCAGUGUCUUGUCCUGAAGAUACAGUGACUUACUCUCAAGUCAACAUAAAGAGUAAACCUAACGAUGAAGGGUGAUUUUUUUGUACUUUGUCUGAAUGUUUUUAAAAC